rnacentral:rRNA from 1 species
AAUCAACGCUGGCGGCGUGCCUAACACAUGCAAGUCGAACGAGAAAGUCCCGCAAGGGAUGAGUACAGUGGCGUACGGGUGAGUAACACGUGGAUAACCUGCCUUCAAAUGGGGAAUCACCCUGGGAAACCGGGGCUAAUACCGCAUAACACUUGGGAGCUUCGGCUCCAGAGUUGAAAUCCGCAAGGGGUUUGAAGAGGGGUCCGCGGCUGAUUAGCUAGUUGGCGGGGUAAUGGCCCACCAAGGCUUUGAUCAGUAGCCGGCCUGUGAGGGCGGACGGCCACACUGGAACUGCAACACGGUCCAGACUCCUACGGGAGGCAGCAGUGGGGAAUUUUGCGCAAUGGGGGAAACCCUGACGCAGCAACGCCGCGUGGACGAUGAAGCUUCUUGGAGUGUAAAGUCCUUUCGGCAGGGAAGAAUCCCGCAAGGGUUGACGGUACCUGAAGAAGAAGCCCCGGCUAACUCCGUGCCAGCAGCCGCCGUAAGAC